rnacentral:rRNA from 1 species
GAACGGGNGUCCAACCGGUGGCAACACUGGGUGAAGACCUAGUGGCGAACGGGUGAGUAGCACGUGAGCAACCUGCCCCGAAGACUGGGAUAACACCGGGAAACCGGUGCUAAUACCGGAUAUCCCCAUCGGAUCGCAUGAUCUGAUGAGGAAAGGAUUCUGCUUCGGGAGGGGCUCGCGGCCUAUCAGCUUGAUGGUGAGGUAACGGCCCACCAUGGCAACGACGGGUAGCUGGUCUGAGAGGACGAUCAGCCACACUGGGACUGAGACACGGCCCAGACUCCUACGGGAGGCAGCAGUAGGGAAUCUUGCGCAAUGGGCGAAAGCCUGACGCAGCAACGCCGCGUGAGGGACGAAGGCUUUCUGAGUUGUAAACCUCUUUCAGCAGGGACGAUUGUGACGGUACCUGCAGAAGAAGCACCGGCCAACUACGUG